rnacentral:rRNA from 1 species
GACGAACGCNGGCGGCGUGCCUAAUACAUGCAAGUAGAACGCACAGGAUGCACCGUAGUUUACUACACCGUAUUCUGUGAGUUGCGAACGGGUGAGUAACGCGUAGGUAACCUGCCUGGUAGCGGGGGAUAACUAUUGGAAACGAUAGCUAAUACCGCAUAAGAACAUUUACUGCAUGGUAGAUGUUUAAAAGGUGCAAAUGCAUCACUACCAGAUGGACCUGCGUUGUAUUAGCUAGUAGGUGAGGUAACGGCUCACCUAGGCGACGAUACAUAGCCGACCUGAGAGGGUGAUCGGCCACACUGGGACUGAGACACGGCCCAGACUCCUACGGGAGGCAGCAGUAGGGAAUCUUCGGCAAUGGGGGGAACCCUGACCGAGCAACGCCGCGUGAGUGAAGAAGGUUUUCGGAUCGUAAAGCUCUGUUGUUAAGGAAGAACGAGUGUGAGAANGGAAAGUUCAUAC